rnacentral:misc_RNA from 1 species
AAAAUGCGAUAACUAAUGUGAGUUGCAGCAUCCCGUGAAUCAUUGAAAUUUUGAAUGUAAUUACGGCAGGCUAAUUUAGCCGGCUGUAUCGGGUCGAGACCGGGCGAGAAAUUUUCGGCAGAUUAAUUUUAGCCGCGAUUGUUUAGCCGCGAUUUUUUCGCGCGGCUAAAUCAAAAUUUUUUUUUGUAGCCGGCUUAGCCGCGAUCACUUAGUGGCGCGAUUUUUUGCCGGCUCAAAACUGCAUAAUUAGCCGACGGGCCGAAAAUUUUUUUUCAGCCUGCCGCAAAAAAAAAUCUCGGCUCGGCCCGAUACGACAACCCGCUGGACUUAA